rnacentral:lncRNA from 1 species
AAAGAGAAAUUGCCAUGUGCACUAUUUUGUGUUAUGAGAGUAGUUCCAAUUCGCUCAUGGUAUUCUACAUCAACAUUUAACCUAUGGUUUACUACAAUGUUCACAACACUCCAAUAUUUAAGCCAUAGUUUGCUAAAGUGCUCAUAGCACUCCAAUGCCAGACAUCAAUCUAAGAUAUAUGGACAUCCAAUAGUUGUGAGAAUAG